CCAGCCAAUUAUAUUUCCCAGUUUCCAGGGAAGACAUCCUCUCCACUUCUCCAUUUCUCUUCCUGGAAGGGUUAAUCCCUAGGAUUACAGCUUCUUUAAAAAAGCACAGCUUCCUAGAAGGGGGAUCAUCAUAGAUGUGAUUCAGGAUAUAACCUCCAACCUCUGGGGAAGAUGGAGAGAAGAACCACCAGUCCUGCAGGUGACUUGGGGCCAGGUUCCCCUCACCCAACUUGGUACGGGCAGUGGAUCAUAAAACCUCUUCUUAUUGUCUGAUAAAAGGCUUUUGAGCUCUUCGGGAGCAGGCACAGGAAAGAGAAAGAAAAAAAAAGAAGAGUGACAACAGCUCCAGAUCUGGAUUAUGUCAUAAACUAAAGUAACAGUUGUGCCUGAUUCAUAAAAAGCCAAGGACAAAUACAUCUGAG
rnacentral:lncRNA from 1 species